AACGGCUGGCGGCGUGCCUAAUACAUGCAAGUCGAACGGUCUUUCUAUGGAAGCUUGCUUCCACUGAGAAGAUAGUGGCGAACGGGUGAGUAACACGUGGGUAACCUGCCCAUAAGAGGGGGAUAACAUCCGGAAACGGGUGCUAAUACCGCAUAGUUUUCUUGAUCGCAUGAUCGGGAAAGGAAAGACGGCCUUUGUGCUGUCGCUUAUGGAUGGACCCGCGGCGUAUUAGUUAGUUGGUGAGGUAACGGCUCACCAAGACGAUGAUACGUAGCCGACCUGAGAGGGUGAUCGGCCACAUUGGGACUGAGACACGGCCCAAACUCCUACGGGAGGCAGCAGUAGGGAAUCUUCCGCAAUGGACGAAAGUCUGACGGAGCAACGCCGCGUGAGUGAAGAAAAGGUUUUCGGAUCGUAAAACUCUGUUGUCAGAGAAGAACAAGUUGGAGAGUAACUGCUCCAGCCUUGACGGUAUCUGACCAGAAAGCCACGGCUAACUACGUGCCAGCAGCCGC
rnacentral:rRNA from 1 species